CACACAAAAUGAAGAAAAAGGGGGGAAAAUUUGUCAAAAGUCCUGUGCAGCAGACGGAGUAAGAAUAGCAGCAAAAUUAUCUACACAUGUAGAGCUAACUGCAACUGCAAAUAAAGACCGGAGAAUUUUAAUUUUCUGCAUUACAGGUGAUGUUGCACCAGCAUCUACUCUCUCUUCACUGUUAUGUAAACUGAGUUCACAUUGUUUAUAAGUAUUCAACAUCAAGACUCCAACAUGCAUCAGUUUAUGAUAGUAUUUCUCAGAACACUAAGCAUAUGCAUCAGUGCUUUGCACAUUCCCAAGACUAACUUUUAGGAAAGUUGAUAUUAUAAUGCCACUUCCUAAAGCAUUAUUCUCAUGCCCUUGUAAUUCUUUUCAAUAGCUAGUGUCGUCAACUUUGGCAUCAAAAUCAACAAUGGAGGCCUUGGAAAUUCUUGACAGAGGAACAGAAGCAGCGUGCUCAUCAGCGAUAGCCAUGUUCAGUCUGCACAAGGUAUUCAAAGCACAAUGUAUUAGUGAAGGAGGUGAUAGCUUAGUGGCUCUUGCACAUUUGGACUAAAUAUUUCAACUUCCCUUAUAUUAUCACAACUACCAGUAGCGGUACUACUCAAAUUUGACUGAAAUACUUAAUCUUUCCCACUCACAUUAGGAUUAGUACAUUUUUCUUGCACCAAUUUGUCUGAAGUUUGGGAUGGGAUAUCCUGCAUUGAUGUAUUAAUAGGCACUGGAGGAUUUUUAAUAACACUUACUGUUGCACAUGAGGCCAAAUAUUGUACAGCAGUACCUAUUGAAACAUUUUGAUCAAAGAUAUAGCAGCCUCAACUCCAAAUGCAUCGAUGGGCUGAUUCUUGGUGUGAGUGAAUUCCACCAGCCUGCAUCACAAUUAAAACUCUAUGCGUCGAUGAGCUGAUUGUGAUGGUAUUUCUUGAAAGAUAUAUAAAAACUUGAAAAACGUUCUUAGAUACAUAUAUUUGAAUAGCCAUAAAUUGACCUGUUGCCCACCAGAUAACUUUCAUGUAGUACAGAGGUUGCCCGCCUUUUGUUUCACUUCUUGCUAUCCUCCAAAUACACCUCCUAAAGCACUAUUCUCAUCCCCUUGUAAUCAAUAUCUGAGUGAAUAUUAUCCCAUCAUUGUGGAGAGUUAGCAAUCUCAUGUAUGUUUGUGGACUUGAGGAGUAACAUAUGAUAUGCAAACAAUCCAAGACAUGCUGAAGAAGAAAAGAGAGUAUACAAGAACACCAAUUUGAAAAGAACCAAACUUUGGAGUAUUUACCCACAAAAUGAAGAAAAGGAUGUUNNNN
rnacentral:lncRNA from 1 species